rnacentral:lncRNA from 1 species
GUUGGCUUCUAAAUUUUUUUCUCAAGAUUGGCUGGGUUCUCUUUCUUGUUCUUCUUCUUGUCCUAGGUCUUCCAGAUGGAUAAUGGAGGUGAUGUUGUGCUUCCUGCGAUCUUUUAUAUAUUUUAUCUUUAAUACAUCUUAAUAUUUUAUUUUAUAAUUUUUUCAUAUAAAACAUGCUCUAUUAUUCUUUUCAAAACUGCUUGAGUCCAGAAAGG